AGAGUUUGAUCAUGGCUCAGAUUGAACGCUGGCGGCAGGCCUAACACAUGCAAGUCGAACGGUAACAGGAAGAAGCUUGCUUCUUUGCUGACGAGUGGCGGACGGGUGAGUAAUGUCUGGGAAACUGCCUGAUGGAGGGGGAUAACUACUGGAAACGGUAGCUAAUACCGCAUAACGUCGCAAGACCAAAGAGGGGGACCUUCGGGCCUCUUGCCAUCGGAUGUGCCCAGAUGGGAUUAGCUAGUAGGUGGGGUAACGGCUCACCUAGGCGACGAUCCCUAGCUGGUCUGAGAGGAUGACCAGCCACACUGGAACUGAGACACGGUCCAGACUCCUACGGGAGGCAGCAGUGGGGAAUAUUGCACAAUGGGCGCAAGCCUGAUGCAGCCAUGCCGCGUGUAUGAAGAAGGCCUUCGGGUUGUAAAGUACUUUCAGCGGGGAGGAAGGGAGUAAAGUUAAUACCUUUACUCAUUGACGUUACCCGCAGAAGAAGCACCGGCUAACUCCGUGCCAGCAGCCGCGGUAAUACGGAGGGUGCAAGCGUUAAUCGGAAUUACUGGGCGUAAAGCGCACGCAGGCGGUUUGUUAAGUCAGAUGUGAAAUCCCCGGGCUCAACCUGGGAACUGCAUCUGAUACUGGCAAGCUUGAGUCUCGUAGAGGGGGGUAGAAUUCCAGGUGUAGCGGUGAAAUGCGUAGAGAUCUGGAGGAAUACCGGUGGCGAAGGCGGCCCCCUGGACGAAGACUGACGCUCAGGUGCGAAAGCGUGGGGAGCAAACAGGAUUAGAUACCCUGGUAGUCCACGCCGUAAACGAUGUCGACUUGGAGGUUGUGCCCUUGAGGCGUGGCUUCCGGAGCUAACGCGUUAAGUCGACCGCCUGGGGAGUACGGCCGCAAGGUUAAAACUCAAAUGAAUUGACGGGGGCCCGCACAAGCGGUGGAGCAUGUGGUUUAAUUCGAUGCAACGCGAAGAACCUUACCUGGUCUUGACAUCCACAGAACUUUCCAGAGAUGGAUUGGUGCCUUCGGGAACUGUGAGACAGGUGCUGCAUGGCUGUCGUCAGCUCGUGUUGUGAAAUGUUGGGUUAAGUCCCGCAACGAGCGCAACCCUUAUCCUUUGUUGCCAGCGGUCCGGCCGGGAACUCAAAGGAGACUGCCAGUGAUAAACUGGAGGAAGGUGGGAAUGACGUCAAGUCAUCAUGGCCCUUACGACCAGGGCUACACACGUGCUACAAUGGCGCAUACAAAGAGAAGCGACCUCGCGAGAGCAAGCGGACCUCAUAAAGUGCGUCGUAGUCCGGAUUGGAGUCUGCAACUCGACUCCAUGAAGUCGGAAUCGCUAGUAAUCGUGGAUCAGAAUGCCACGGUGAAUACGUUCCCGGGCCUUGUACACACCGCCCGUCACACCAUGGGAGUGGGUUGCAAAAGAAGUAGGUAGCUUAACCUUCGGGAGGGCGCUUACCACUUUGUGAUUCAUGACUGGGGUGAAGUCGUAACAAGGUAACCGUAGGGGAACCUGCGGUUGGAUCACCU
rnacentral:rRNA from 1 species